rnacentral:rRNA from 1 species
UGCAGUCGAACGGCAGCACGGGUGCUUGCACCUGGUGGCGAGUGGCGAACGGGUGAGUAAUACAUCGGAACAUGUCCUGUAGUGGGGGAUAGCCCGGCGAAAGCCGGAUUAAUACCGCAUACGAUCCACGGAUGAAAGCGGGGGACCUUCGGGCCUCGCGCUAUAGGGUUGGCCGAUGGCUGAUUAGCUAGUUGGUGGGGUAAAGGCCUACCAAGGCGACGAUCAGUAGCUGGUCUGAGAGGACGACCAGCCACACUGGGACUGAGACACGGCCCAGACUCCUACGGGAGGCAGCAGUGGGGAAUUUUGGACAAUGGGCGAAAGCCUGAUCCAGCAAUGCCGCGUGUGUGAAGAAGGCCUUCGGGUUGUAAAGCACUUUUGUCCGGAAAGAAAUCCUUGGCUCUAAUACAGUCGGGGGAUGACGGUACCGGAAGAAUAAGCACCGGCUAACUACGUGCCAGCAGCCGCGGUAAUACGUAGGGUGCGAGCGUUAAUCGGAAUUACUGGGCGUAAAGCGUGCGCAGGCGGUCUGUUAAGACAGAUGUGAAAUCCCCGGGCUCAACCUGGGAACUGCAUUUGUGACUGGCAGGCUAGAGUAUGGCAGAGGGGGGUAGAAUUCCACGUGUAGCAGUGAAAUGCGUAGAGAUGUGGAGGAAUACCGAUGGCGAAGGCAGCCCCCUGGGCCAAUACUGACGCUCAUGCACGAAAGCGUGGGGAGCAAACAGGAUUAGAUACCCUGGUAGUCCACGCCCUAAACGAUGUCAACUAGUUGUUGGGGAUUCAUUUCCUUAGUAACGUAGCUAACGCGUGAAGUUGACCGCCUGGGGAGUACGGUCGCAAGAUUAAAACUCAAAGGAAUUGACGGGGACCCGCACAAGCGGUGGAUGAAGGUGGAUUAAUUCGAUGCAACGCGAAAAACCUUACCUACCCUUGACAUGGUCGGAAUCCUGAAGAGAUUCGGGAGUGCUCGAAAGAGAACCGGCGCACAGGUGCUGCAUGGCUGUCGUCAGCUCGUGUC